rnacentral:rRNA from 1 species
UACGUAGGACCCAAGCGUUAUCCGGAAUUACUGGGCGUAAAGAGUUGCGUAGGUGGCAAAGUAAGCAAGCUAUGAAAGCGUAUGGCUCAACCAUAUAUCCAUAGUUUGAACUGCUUGGCUAGAGAGCGAGAGAGGUAGAUGGAAUUCCCAGUGUAGGAGUGAAAUCCGUAGAUAUUGGGAGGAACACCGAUGGCGUAAGCAGUCUACUGGCUCGUUUCUGACACUAAGGCACGAAAGCGUGGGUAGCAAACAGG